rnacentral:tRNA from 1 species
GGCUCUGUGGCGCAAUGGAUAGCGCAUUGGACUUCUAGGCUGUGAGCUGAGCCAUUCAAAGCUUGUGGGUUCGAGUCCCACCAGAGUCG